rnacentral:rRNA from 1 species
GGAGCAUGUGGUUUAAUUCGAUGAUACGCGAGGAACCUUACCUGAGCUCGAACGUAAGAUGACUGUAGGUGAAAGCUUACAUCUCUUCGGAGCAUUUUACGAGGUGCUGCAUGGUUGUCGUCAGCUCGUGCCGUGAGGUGUCGGGUUAAGUCCCAUAACGAGCGCAACCCUACCUUUAGUUGCCAUCAGGUAAUGCUGGGGACUCUAAAGGAACUGCCUACGCAAGUAGUGAGGAAGGCGGGGAUGACGUCAAAUCAGCACGGCCCUUACGUCCAGGGCUACACACGUGCUACAAUGGCCGAUACAGAGGGCAGCUACCUGGUGACAGGAUGCAAAUCUCCAAAGUCGGUCUCAGUUCGGAUCGGAGUCUGCAACCCGACUCCGUGAAGUUGGAUUCGCUAGUAAUCGCGCAUCAGCCAUGGCGCGGUGAAUACGUUCCCGGGCCUU